UUAAUUUAAUUAUAACUUGUUCAAAAAUGUCUGACAAGUGUAAAAGGAAAAGAAUUAAAUUAGAAUGUAUGGAUUGUGGAAGUAUUUUUAACAAUGAUUAUAAAUUGAAACACGAAAGGCAAGUACAUAGUGGUAAAAAAAUUAAAACGAAACAUUAUGGAGUACCAAGCAAAUAAUAUGUUCUGAAGCUACUUCAAAAUCUGAUCAGAUAAACUUAAUCCCGAAACUACCUGUAGAAAAUCAAGAAAGUCAUAUCACUUUAACCGAAAACAUAAAUG